UAAGAAUUAAAAAUCCAAAUG
rnacentral:piRNA from 1 species